GGUGAACGCUGGCGGCGUGCCUAAUACAUGCAAGUCGAGCGAACGGACGAGAAGCUUGCUUCUCUGAUGUUAGCGGCGGACGGGUGAGUAACACGUGGAUAACCUACCUAUAAGACUGGGAUAACUUCGGGAAACCGUAGCUAAUACCGGAUAAUAUUUUGAACCGCAUGGUUCAAAAGUGAAAGACGGUCUUGCUGUCACUUAUAGCUGGAUCCGCGCUGCAUUAGCUAGUUGGUAAGGUAACGGCUUACCAAGGCAACGAUGCAUAGCCGACCUGAGAGGGUGAUCGGCCACACUGGAACUGAGACACGGUCCAGACUCCUACGGGAGGCAGCAGUAGGGAAUCUUCCGCAAUGGGCGAAAGCCUGACGGAGCAACGCCGCGUGAGUGAUGAAGGUCUUCGGAUCGUAAAACUCUGUUAUUAGGGAAGAACAUAUGUGUAAGUAACUGUGCACAUCUUGACGGUACCUAAUCAGAAAGCCACGGCUAACUACGUG
rnacentral:rRNA from 1 species